CGGAGAGAGAAAGGCUCACCACAUUCUCGCCUUCGUUGAAUGUGCAAAGAUAAGAUCGCUGAAUCGAAUCCCCACGCCUGCUGAUCUGAGGCUCAGGGAACGUCUUAACAGUAGCUCCGACUUCCCGCUCGACGACAAGCACGUUGUGAAAAUCCCAAUUCGGGAUGAGACGGCAGCUUAGUCCGUCAUAGCUACGAUCAUCAACGUCAUAAGUUGCGGAAUAGAUCACUUCUCGGCUGGGGCGGCGAUCGAUGUGGGUCGAUCGUGUCUCCGUCUCGAUGUAGGGGAGUUUCGAUUUGACGGGGUAUACGCGAAAAGGAGUCUUCAAUUUGCAGAAGGGGACGCUAGGGUGAACAGACACGCCAGUUGCAAUUUUGUCGAACACACACCGCUGGGUGAUUUUCACAGAAGCGUGAUGGCGUCGCUGGCGGUGGAAUUGAUGCCUUUCGUACCCACAUGCAGAAAUUGAAUCGAUCAUCCUAUAUUGAUAGAGAGAGGAUCGAAGGUUGGCGCUGGGCGGUGUGUGUGGCCUUGUUGGGGAUGGAGGCCCCACUCAAUCGAAUCGUAUUGCCAUCGCGCAAUCUUGUCUACCUCCUCACACUUCUGCAAAUAAUUGAAUAACAAAACUGGUGAAAUUGUGAUUUCAUUGAUGGUUUAGGUAUAGGGUUUAGGUUCACAUUUUUUCAUGGAAUCAAACCCUUUUUAUGUACAUAACUAUGCUAUAUACACACGCCAUGUAAGCUUAAAACAAGUUUUUUAUUGUUCAUAACAAUUUAUUUAUUUUAACAAUAAUUAUCACGAAAUGAGGUUCUUUAA